ensembl:lncRNA
CAACGCAUUCCUGCAUCUCUACGUUGUAAGCAAGGAGACAGGUUUUACCACUCCCCAGAACGGGCUACCAGGCGUCUCCUCCAAGUUACCAGGGUUCUGGUCUAGAAGCACGGUUUCGAUUGCUAAUACAGUUUUGUUUCUGAUGACAUAAUGACGACAUCGCUGCUCACGCUGCUCCCUGUGUGAACUGAGUGCUAGUGUGCAUGUGAUGUUGGGCUGAGUAAACCAGAUGCAUCCUGGAUAUACACCUGAUUACCUUGAUAACAACACAGACACACUGGACGCAGACUCCAGUUCUUAUUAGAAGGACCGAGCACGCCCCCAUUCUCAUCGACGGGGCUGUAGUAGAGCAGGCUGAGAGCUUCAAGUUCCUUGGGGUCCACAUCACCAACAAACUAACUUGGUACAAG